rnacentral:rRNA from 1 species
GACGAACGCUGGCGGCGUGCCUAAUACAUGCAAGUCGAGCGGACAGAAGGGAGCUUGCUCCCGGAAGUUAGCGGCGGACGGGUGAGUAACACGUGGGCAACCUACCCUGUAGAUCGGGAUAACAUCGAGAAAUCGGUGCUAAUACCGGAUAAUCAUUUGAAGUGCAUGCUUCGAAUGUAAAAGAUGGCUCCGGCGACCACUACGGGCAUGGCCCGCGGCGCAUUAGCUAGUUGGUAAGGUAAUGGCUUACCAAGGCAACGAUGCGUAGCAGACCUGGGAGGGUGAUCGGCCACACUGGGACUGAGACACGGCCCAGACUCCUACGGGAGGCAGCAGUAGGGAAUCUUCCGCAAUGGACGAAAGUCUGACGGAGCAACGCCGCGUGAGUGAUGAAGGUUUUCGGAUCGUAAAGCUCUGUUGUUAGGGAAGAACAAGUGCCGUUUGAAUAAGGCGGCACCUUGACGGUACCUAACCAGAAAGCCACGGCUAACUACGUGCCAGCCGCCGCGGUAAUAC